UUGACCUCGAUCAGUAGGAAUACCC
rnacentral:rRNA from 1 species